rnacentral:rRNA from 1 species
AACGCGAAGAACCUUACCUACUCUUGACAUCCAGAGAACUUAGCAGAGAUGCUUUGGUGCCUUCGGGAACUCUGAGACAGGUGCUGCAUGGCUGUCGUCAGCUCGUGUUGUGAAAUGUUGGGUUAAGUCCCGCAACGAGCGCAACCCUUAUCCUUUGUUGCCAGCGGUCCGGCCGGGAACUCAAAGGAGACUGCCAGUGAUAAACUGGAGGAAGGUGGGGAUGACGUCAAGUCAUCAUGGCCCUUACGAGUAGGGCUACACACGUGCUACAAUGGCACAUACAAAGAGAAGCGACCUCGCGAGAGCAAGCGGACCUCAUAAAGUAUGUCGUAGUCCGGAUUGGAGUCUGCAACUCGACUCCAUGAAGUCGGAAUCGCU